CUCUGACAGCUUCAGUACAGCUUUCUGAGUAAAUUUAAGUAUAGAUGACCUACAAAAUCAUCUUUUUACAAUGCUGGUACAGUUACAAGUGCCUUUUCUACAAUUGCUUGAUUUAAUUGGUAGGGAUAGGAGAGAGAAAAAAAGGAAAAGCGUGGCUAGGAAACCACG